GGGAGGAAUCAGGCUGCGGCUCCAACGGACGAGUGUAUGGGUUGGACUGCCGCUAGGUAGCCAGCAUGGGACGGGCAGCCCUGGCUUGGGUGGUGGAGUUUUCCUCAGUCCCCGACUUGGAGGAAUUGCGAUGGUGCUGUUCCCCCUUCAGUGGGGGCUGGCAUCUUUGUGUAGGCAUUUACUGCAGUUUUCUUUAGAGCAGAAUUGGCCCGUUCAGAGCGACGAGGCGAAGGAGAGGGAAUACACGCUGCCAGCGUAACACAGUUCUCCACAGUGAAGCCUUUCAAACCAAAUUAUCCGAAUUACCUUUUGGGCCCAGACCCCGAGGACAACCAGGAUCUUCCGUCCGCACUGCCCCCCCCCCAGGCGAGCUGCACAGUUACAUGGGGAAAAGGAACCAUCCAGGGAGACGGAGGAGAGGGGGAACAGCUGGCGGGAAGCGAGCGCGCAGCCAUUUGACAGGAAGGAAGAUCUACCCCGGAGAGCAAUUCCAGAGGAAAUAAACAUCAAAAUGAAUGACUUACAAGAUUGUACCAGCUGGGAUUAGCACAUUCCAUUUCCUGGACUCUUCAUGAGGCUGAGAACUAAAGAAAAUUAAAAUAAAGAUCAGCUAACGAAUGAGAGCAAAGUACAACAACCUGAAGAAAUAUGCAAUUCAUAUUUUAAAGAAGUUUACAACACUGACAAAGGAGUGCAGGAGAACAACAGUUGUCUUUUACAGAAUAUUAGCAUGUAGAAAAGAAAGCAGUGAAUCUACAACAUGUCAAAAUGACUGAAAUGCAGUUCUGUAGCUUGAGAAGAGCCAUUACACAUCAAAACAUCUUGAUUUUGUUCCUAGAAUUUCCACUGACUUGCUGUGUAAAUCAUGAGAGUUCUCUGUGCAUCAGUUUGCAUAUCAGCAGUACUCACUUACACCCCCAAAAAUUUCUCAAGGUAAAUUUAUAAAUAUUUACAGUUCCCAAGUUUGCAGAUUCUGGAGGAUUAUUAUGAUUGCGGUGUUGUUAUCUUUUACCUCUUUUACAGCUUUUUGGAGUUCCUCUCCUCCCCGCCCCCCAAAUCUGCCAGACUUAGAAAAAAUAGAAUUUAGCUUGUAGGCAUCUGAUGUAAACUGCAAUAAUUCAAUGUUUUUGUCAUUAUGACAAUUGCUCAAAAUACCGUAGUUGUUCCUUGUUGCUGCUACGCUCCUGUGGGAGAAGCCGGCAUUCUUAUCCGGAGCAGAUCCUGCUGCACCCUUUAUUACACGAGGACAGUUUAAUGAACUAGUGAGCGCUAAUGAGGCUGAAGCCCAAUUUGUACGCAGCCUAACAGGGCCAUGGGUGUUGGGCUGCUAGUCCAGAAA